UUGUGGUUAAAAAGCUCGUAGCUGGAUCUCAACAGUCUUGAAGCGGUCAACUUUGUAGUUGUACUGCUUUGUAGACUGUGCUUUUGCUGGAGGUUUAGGGGUGCUCUUAAUCGAGUGUCUCUGGAUGCCAGCAGGUUUACUUUGAAAAAAUUAGAGUGCUCAAAGCAGGCUAAAAUGCCUGAAUAUUCGUGCAUGGAAUAAUAGAAUAGGAUGUCGAUCCUAUUUUGUUGGUUUUCGGGACUUGACAUAAUGAUUAAUAGGGACAGUCGGGGGCAUUUGUAUUCAAACGACAGAGGUGAAAUUCUUGGACCGUUUGAAGACAAACUACUGCGAAAGCAUUUGCCAAGAAUGUUUUCAUUAAUCAAGAACGAAAGUUAGAGGUUCGAAGGCGAUUAGAUACCGCCCUAGUUCUAACCAUAAACGAUGCCAGCUAGCGAUCUGCCGCUGUUUUUACUGUAGACUCGGCAGGAAGCUUCCGGGAAACCAAAGCAUUUGGGUUCCAGGGGAAGUAUGGUUGCGAAGCUGAAACUUAAAGGAAUUGACGGAAGGGCACCACCAGGAGUGGAGCCUGUGGCUUAAUUUGACUC
rnacentral:rRNA from 1 species